rnacentral:rRNA from 1 species
UGCCAGCCGCCGCGGUAAUACGGAGGGUGCAAGCGUUGUACGGAUUGACUGGGCGUAAAGUGCACGCAGGCGGGUUUUUAAGUUGGAUGUGAAAUCCCCGGGCUCAACCUGGGAACUGCAUCCAAAACUGGAAAUCUUGAAUGUUUGAGAGGUUGGUGGAAUUUGUGGUGUAGGAGUGAAAUCCGUAGAUAUCACAAGGAAUACCGGCGGCGAAGGCGGCCGACUGGCAAAACAUUGACGCUCAUGUGCGAAAGCGUGGGGAGCAAACAGGAUUAGAUA